rnacentral:lncRNA from 1 species
GGGGUUUCCUUCUCAGAUCCCUUUUUGUUAUGCAAACUUUUUGUUCAGCAGUGUUAUCUCUUGCAGGUGUUUGUUAGAAUCAUUGUUUGUGAGAAGAAACCUGGGUGUGCUCAUUUCUUGCUGAGGUUCCCUUCUCUGCAAAGACCUGCCUGACUCACUGCUUGACUUGGAAACACCCCCAGGUAUUUUAUCUCUCUAUUUUACCUCCUGGUCCUGCUCUGAACGCUGAAAGGAUGCUGCUGCUUCUGCAUGGUGGGAUCCAGUCCCCACCAGUGCCCCCAUCUGCCCGAACUCCAUUGGAGUGGGAACGAUGGAGUCUGGGUGCAAGGGGGUUCUCAGCCACCAGAGUUUGUUGAGUUACCCAGGCAAAGGCUGAUCAUGCCCAGGAGAUGAUUUUAUAGCUCGUACACAUUUACUGUCCAGAUAUUUCCAUUUUUCCUUAGCCUUUUUCACAUAUAACACGCACGUGGGUGAUGAAGAGAGUGCACUUAUGGAAUGUUCUGUUUCAUUCCAGGGAUGGCUCAGCUCAGAAAUGAUCACAGACAGACACUCUUCACUUCCACCCAAUUCCACGCUGCUUGCAAAUGGAACAGGGGAAAAACUCUGCAGCCUGUGGGCUCUGACAGAUCAGAUACCCCAGUGGGUUUGGGUGCUGCCCCAGGGACUGCAACACCUCGCACCUCUGAGCCCCUGCUGUGAUGAAAAGCUGCAGAGAAAACUCCCCAGCAAAGGUCUUCAUAAUACUUAACAUUCAAUGGAGCAAAAGGAGAAUAAUGAGCACUGCAGCCAUCCCAGGUUAGUAAUUACCGCCGUCAUUAUUAAUUUUCCAGAGCAAUCUCGUCAAAUGAGUC